AACGAACGCUGGCGGCAGGCUUAACACAUGCAAGUCGAGCGCGCCCUUCGGGGUGAGCGGCGGACGGGUGAGUAACGCGUGGGAACAUGCCCUUCACUGCGGAAUAGCCUCUGGAAACGGAGAGUAAUACCGCAUACGCCCUUCGGGGGAAAGAUUUAUCGGUGAGGGAUUGGCCCGCGUUGGAUUAGGUAGUUGGUGGGGUAACGGCCUACCAAGCCGACGAUCGAUAGCUGGUUUGAGAGGAUGAUCAGCCACACUGGGACUGAGACACGGCCCAGACUCCUACGGGAGGCAGCAGUGGGGAAUCUUAGACAAUGGGGGAAACCCUGAUCUAGCCAUGCCGCGUGUGUGAUGAAGGCCUUAGGGUCGUAAAGCACUUUCGCCUGUGAAGAUAAUGACUGUAGCAGGUAAAGAAACCCCGGCUAACUCCGUGCCAGCAGCCGCGGUAAUACGGAGGGGGUUAGCGUUGUUCGGAAUUACUGGGCGUAAAGCGCGCGUAGGCGGACUAUUAAGUGAGGGGUGAAAUCCCAGGGCUCAACCCUGGAACUGCCUCUCAUACUGGUAGUCUUGAGUUCGAGAGAGGUGAGUGGAAUUCCGAGUGUAGAGGUGAAAUUCGUAGAUAUUCGGAGGAACACCAGUGGCGAAGGCGGCUCACUGGCUCGAUACUGACGCUGAGGUGCGAAAGUGUGGGGAGCAAACAGGAUUAGAUACCCUGGUAGUCCACACCGUAAACGAUGAAUGCCAGUCGUCGGGUAGUAUACUAUUCGGUGACACACCUAACGGAAUUAAGCAUUCCGCCU
rnacentral:rRNA from 1 species